rnacentral:snRNA from 1 species
GUCCCUUGCGCACAUAUAUUAAAACUGGAACAAUAUAGAGAAAAUUAGCAUCUCCCCUGUGCAAGGAUGACAUGAAAUUUUUUUUUCUUUUUU